rnacentral:lncRNA from 1 species
AGAGGCGGUCGCACAAGGGCGAGCUGGAGCACUAGUGGAGUUGGCGGGAAAGGCACGGCUGCGGGCGCCCCCUGUCCGCACGGAGGAGCCGAAGUCCCGCAGGGUGGGGUCCCCGCCUGCGCCGAGAGGGCCACCUGGUCGAGAGAACAGGCGACACGGAAACCUGAGAAACUCCUCUGUCUGGUGCACCUAACCCUCUUCCUCAUAAAGUGCACACGAACUCUGGUUUUUCCGUUGCAAAUUUUGCUUUCUACAUAGACCAUACCAUUCGUUGCUCUCUGAGGAUGAGCUCCUGGCUUCCCAGUCCAGCAGAAGUAUCUACAUCUAUUUCUGGAAAGGACCUGAACUUGGCUUCUCGUCCUUCUGGAAAGUGAGGCGAAAAUGCCAGGCUGCGCAGCUAUCCUGAGGCCCGGCCUGGAACCUGGCUAGCCACCCAGUCCUGAUACCUCAUCUCCUUUCUGUUGGAUAAAGUCAUUGGAUAAGAUCCCCCAGGGUCUUCUUAAUACUGAACAUCUGUUCAUAAUCACAUAAGUGACCAAGUAUAGUGGAAAACCCGAAUGGUCAACUGAGCUGAGCAGUGGGAGAGAGCGCAGGGCUUACCUCAUCCUUUAAGUAUUUGAGGAACUGGUGAACAAGUUAACUACUUUGAUAGUAAACGAGGAAAUUUCUUUAUAGAGAAAAGCAAAAUGUGGCCCAGCAGGUAUGUGAAAAAUGGCUGAUGUGACUAGAACUAAGGAAACAAAUGGUUAAGAUAAUAUUAGACAAAAGUAAUGGAAAUUUUUUUUUUUUGGAAAACAGUAUGGAGGGUCCUCAAAAAAU